rnacentral:rRNA from 1 species
CCAGACUCCUACGGGAGGCAGCAGUGGGGGAUAUUGCACAAUGGGGGAAACCCUGAUGCAGCGACGCCGCGUGGGCGAAGAAGUAUUUCGGUAUGUAAAGCCCUAUCAGCAGGGAAGAAGAAAUGACGGUACCUGAGUAAGAAGCACCGGCUAAAUACGUGCCAGCAGCCGCGGUAAUACGUAUGGUGCAAGCGUUAUCCGGAUUUACUGGGUGUAAAGGGAGCGCAGGCGGCACGGCAAGCCUGAUGUGAAAGCCCGCGGCCCAACCGCGGGACUGCAUUGGGAACUACCGGGCUGGAGUGCCGGAGAGGUAGGCGGAAUUCCUAGUGUAGCGGUGAAAUGCGUAGAUAUCAGGAGGAACACCGGCGGCGAAGGCGGCCUGCUGGACCGUGACUGACGUUGAGGCUCGAGAGCGUGGGGAGCAAACAGGAUUAGAUACCCCGGUAUGC